GUACACUCCUGCGGGAGGCAGCAGUGGGGAAUAUUGCACAAUGGGCGCAAGCCUGAUGCAGCCAUGCCGCGUGUAUGAAGAAGGCCUUCGGGUUGUAAAGUACUUUCAGCGGGGAGGAAGGCGAUAAGGUUAAUAACCUUGUCGAUUGACGUUACCCGCAGAAGAAGCACCGGCUAACUCCGUGCCAGCAGCCGCGGUAAUACGGAGGGUGCAAGCGUUAAUCGGAAUUACUGGGCGUAAAGCGCACGCAGGCGGUCUGUCAAGUCGGAUGUGAAAUCCCCGGGCUCAACCUGGGAACUGCAUUCGAAACUGGCAGGCUAGAGUCUUGUAGAGGGGGGUAGAAUUCCAGGUGUAGCGGUGAAAUGCGUAGAGAUCUGGAGGAAUACCGGUGGCGAAGGCGGCCCCCUGGACAAAGACUGACGCUCAGGUGCGAAAGCGUGGGGAGCAAACAGGAUUAGAUACCCCUGUAGUCCCAUG
rnacentral:rRNA from 1 species